rnacentral:lncRNA from 1 species
AGAUAGUCAGAUCAUAGUAAUAGUAAUGUGUCUCGUACUCUUGUCUCUACCUCUGGCAUUGUAAUUAUUAAAGGCAACUCUUUCUGCUGCAAAGUUGCAAAUAUUUUUUUUUUUUUUUUUUUUUUUUUUUUUUCAAAGUUGCAAAUAUUAUUCACAUGCAUUUCCUUGACGUUUUGGAAAAUUUUUCAAAAAAUAUUUUCCCAAGUGGAAUGAAGCAGAAAAGAAAGAAAAACAGACUUAGCUCAUGAUGAGAUAAGUAGACUCAUGAAUAACAAAUAUAUAAGCUGAUCAAUGAAUGCAUAAAUCUUUGUAUCCUACGUUGUGACUUUUGUUUUGCUUUUAUAUAAUUUUUCUUCUUCUCUUUUUUUUUUGUUGCUACGACUUGAGUUCCUUUCUUGGACAAACCACGUACGUACGUGCAUGUAUCUCUUAAUCAAUUAAUACGGAAAUACUAGUAAUACGGACAUAUGUUUUCAAAUAUAUUUUUGGGAAUUAUAUAAAAAAAUAAAAAAAUCAUUACAGCCUAUACAUAAUAAAUUCAUCCACAAAUGAUCUAAAAUCUUAUCUUUAAACUCAAAUCUGGAUGCAUAUGUUGGCUACAUUCCUCCUUAUUUCUAUUAAUUAGGCUGGUGCCCAAAAUCUC